GGAUUAGUGGCGAACGGGUGAGUAAUACGUGAGUAACCUGCCCUUGACUCUGGGAUAAGCCUGGGAAACUGGGUCUAAUACUGGAUACUACCUCUUACCGCAUGGUGGGUGGUGGAAAGGGUUUUACUGGUUUUGGAUGGGCUCACGGCCUAUCAGCUUGUUGGUGGGGUAAUGGCUCACCAAGGCGACGACGGGUAGCCGGCCUGAGAGGGUGACCGGCCACACUGGGACUGAGACACGGCCCAGACUCCUACGGGAGGCAGCAGUGGGGAAUAUUGCACAAUGGGCGGAAGCCUGAUGCAGCGACGCCGCGUGAGGGAUGACGGCCUUCGGGUUGUAAACCUCUUUCAGUAGGGAAGAAGCGAGAGUGACGGUACCUGCAGAAGAAGCGCCGGCUAACUACGUGCCAGCAGCCGCGGUAAUACGUAGGGCGCAAGCGUUGUCCGGAAUUAUUGGGCGUAAAGAGCUCGUAGGCGGUUUGUCGCGUCUGCUGUGAAAGCCCGGGGCUCAACCCCGGGUCUGCAGUGGGUACGGGCAGACUAGAGUGCAGUAGGGGAGACUGGAAUUCCUGGUGUAGCGGUGAAAUGCGCAGAUAUCAGGAGGAACACCGAUGGCGAAGGCAGGUCUCUGGGCUGUUACUGACGCUGAGGAGCGAAAGCAUGGGGAGCGAACAGGAUUAGAUACCCUGGUAGUCCAUGCC
rnacentral:rRNA from 2 species